UGGGGAAUAUUGCACAAUGGGCGCAAGCCUGAUGCAGCCAUGCCGCGUGUAUGAAGAAGGCCUUCGGGUUGUAAAGUACUUUCAGCGAGGAGGAAGGCGUUGUGGUUAAUAACCGCAACGAUUGACGUUACUCGCAGAAGAAGCACCGGCUAACUCCGUGCCAGCAGCCGCGGUAAUACGGAGGGUGCAAGCGUUAAUCGGAAUUACUGGGCGUAAAGCGCACGCAGGCGGUCUGUCAAUUCGGAUGUGAAAUCCCCGGGCUCAACCUGGGAACUGCAUCCGAAACUGGCAGGCUAGAGUCUUGUAGAGGGGGGUAGAAUUCCAGGUGUAGCGGUGAAAUGCGUAGAGAUCUGGAGGAAUACCGGUGGCGAAGGCGGCCCCCUGGACAAAGACUGACGCUCAGGUGCGAAAGCGUGGGGAGCAAACA
rnacentral:rRNA from 1 species